UCAAGGAGAUAGCUGGAACGGGAUGGCCAGUGAGGAUAGGUGACGUGUCACCAUCGACCAUUCUUUUGAUGUAAGGCUCCAACUCAGAAUCAGUGACUAACGGAACCAAUGCUUUGAAAUCUCCUUCUGGGUCUGUCGUGUUGUCUCCGUUGAUCCCGAAGUUUCGCAAGUAAAUGGCGGAUUUGUUCUUGUGGAGAAUCUCUUUCAAGGUUUGUUUCUGGACUUGGUCAGCGUUUCUCGUCAUUUCAUCGAAGUCGUCGAUGACUCUGUUCAUGUUGAAAGUCUCAGCCUUUUUCUCCAACAUCCUAAAAAAAAAGUGAGGAAAUAAAAUGAUCAGAGACAAUCUAUAGCAGAUUCUAAAAUUUAGCAAAAGGAGGUUAGGUUCUGACAGAGUUGCAGAUAGCUAAGAGAAGAAACAGAGUAAUUAAGGAAGGAAGAAUGAAACUUUAAAGCUGUUUAUGUACCUGAUAAUACAUAAAGGGAAAGUUUUUAAAGAAAAGAGAUAAAUUAAAAGAACUUUUUAGCAGAUUUUCUUUUUUUUAAAAAGUGGAGAAACGGUUCUCUGGAACCUAAACGAUAUGAUACUCUUUGUGAUAAAAAUCAAAAAACAGAAUGAACACAGGACUCUGAUGAUGAUCUUGAGAAAGAUCAAUACUUUAAGGACGAGGAAUCAAUAAUUGAGGAACCCAGUAGUUUUCUAGAGUUUACAAUCAGAACCCAUGUCGGAAUCUAUUAGAUUGGUAAAAGAGAAUAGAACUUUGGAAUCUAUCUGAAUAAAAGUAGAGAGAGAAAGAGAGCAAAAAGUCAACGAGUUGGAGCCGGAGAAACUGUUAUUUUCCCCCGAUGAGAAGAAACGAAUUACAUGAAGGAGUGAUAGAGAGAAAGAGAGAGAGAGAGAGAGAGACUACCUGCCUGUUGUGAGCUCUGUAGCUUGGUGGAGUACAGAGAGAGAGAAAGAAAGAUUUAGGAGAGAGAGAGAAGAGUGAUUGUAGAAAAGUCAGAGAAUCUGUGGAAUUUAUAGAGUGGAAAAGAAGAAGAAGUUUGAUAGUUUUGAAGUCGAUGAUGAAUCAGUGAAAGACGUUACUUACGUUUUUUUUCUUUUCUGAGUGUUGCCAACACUUUGCCGACGGUAUUUAAUUUUUUUUUUAUUUUCUUCCUUCCGACCAAAAUUUUGUUUUAUUUCGGUCCAAUCCCAUUAAAGUACAUUCAUAUGUAACGCCAACUUCGUUGCUCAAAAAAAAAAAAUGUAACGCCAACUUUUUCUUUUUAACCGGGCUGGUUCUCUGGGACCUAUUCUUUUUUUUUUUGGGUCAAAAUGUUAAGAUUUAUAACCAGUUUUCAAUUUUACAGAGUUGUGGAAACCACUUAUUACAAGAAAGAAAGAAACAGCAACAUUAGACAGGAGAGAGAGAGAAAGAAAAGAAGAUUUGCAGCAGGGAAGGGGCUGGUGGAGGGCGUGAAGACGGUGGAAUGAUGGAGAGAAGUCGAUCGCGAAUCAUCCUGUCAACCCGGGACACAGAAGCCUGAAUUGGUGAUGCAGUGUCCCUGAAGAUUCUGAAAUUUCUUUCCCGCCAAAGAACAUAGGAGAUGACCUGCAACAGAAGCUUGAAAACCGAUUGUGCAGCAGAGGAGGAUGCCAGCGGGGCUUGGUCCAGCAAAGUGAUGCACGAGAGGAUAGAUACCGGUGGGGCCGUUAUAUAUGAAGCGCAUAAUUUAGUCCAGAUCGCAAAGGAAUAGGGACAUUGAAAGAACAGGUGAUCAUGGGACUCAAGCCCCGUAGAACACAGGACACAACUCAGCGGAACCGUUAAUCCCCAAGAUAAUAAACGAUCUCUGGUGGGAAGUCUUCUAAGAAUGGCUAGCCAUGCAAUGAAGGAGCAUCUUGGGAUUUCCUCCCUGAACCAAAUAAGUUUGUGCCAUGAAACUGUUUGGGAAGCAACCCUAAUUCUGUUCCAAGUAGCUUUUGAAGAAAACUUGGGAACAUAAUGAUCAGCAUCGUUCCUCCAUACGUAUUUAUCAGGCCCUCGUGAUGCUGAAGGAGGGGGCAUAGUUGAUAAAACAAUUUGCAGGGUUUCUGCUUCCUCUGAUCUCGCAGCCGGUAGAGACCACUCCCCAUUGACAACGACAUCAGCUACGGAUGCAGAGCGUCGCACUCGGAGAUCUCUUGGUCCCGUUUCUCCUAAAGCCGAGAUCAAAGGGCCCAGAUCAGACCACCAAUCAAACCAGAAGGUUGCCGCCCUCCCAUCACCAAUUGCACAACGCAAAAACUCCCUUACCCUAUCUCUUAUCAAGAUCAUUCCUCUUACUGUUGGCGAGAGACGUUGCGAACUCUGCACUUCCCAAUAAUUUUUCCUCUUAAACACAUUCUGCUUCAACCAUUCAACCCAAAGAGAUGAACCUGUUGCGAAAUAAUUCCAUACCCUUUUGAGUUGGAAGAUCUCUUGGAACUCUUCAAGCUUCCUUAUCCCAAGGCCGCCUUCACAUUUAGGUUUACAAAUGUUAUCCCAGCUUACUCUAGCUCCUUGAGCUGAUGUUGUCCUGUUGCCCCAUAGGAAAGCAGAGCAUAGGGAGUCGACUUUAGCGUAGAAUCGCUUGGGCAGAUCAAAGACGGAACUCCAGAAGUUCACCAUACCAUAGAUGACCGACACCACCAUUCUAACUUUCCCUGCAAAUGAUAAGCACUUCACAGUCCAAGAAUUUAGUUUUGAGGUUAUUCUUUCCAAGAAUGGUUGGAGAGUAGCGAAGCUGAUUCUGUUUGGAUCAAGCGGCAAACCAAGGUAACGUGUGGGGAACGAGCCCUUAGUGAAACCGGCCAAGUCACUAAUUAUUGCAGCUUCCAGCAGAUGAUACCCUCCAAAGAAGAUCUCUGUUUUUGCCGCAUUUAAUUCCAGCCCCGACCAUGAUUUAAACAGCGCCAUCACUUCUUUGAUACCAAAGAUAGAAUGAACAGAUCCGUCGGAGAAUGCAAGAAGGUCAUCCGCAAACAUCAAGUGAGUUACUCUUGGGGACUCCGCAAAAAUGAAAAGUUUAGUCAAAGCAUGAUUUCUUCUUUAGUUUAUUUACUACUACUAUAAUAUAACUUCCUUGGGGACUCCGACUUUCAUGUUACAAGACACCAAAAAAUAUUCGCAUUUUGGUCAACAUAUUACAUCGAGUGUUUAAAUAUCUCGACAGAACCAUACGUUUUUCUGUUUUCUUCUGUGCUUCAAAGCACAAUAUUAUAUGGUUUCCACGGAUAUAAAUUAAACUUCCCUUUGUUUACAAAUUAAUUAAAAACAAAGCUGAAAAACAAGUUUAGUUUGGUUUACUCAAUAGUAUAACAUAGGUAUCCAAUUUUAAGUAUAUUAAAACUAGAAAAUCGCAUUUUUGCAUUAUCAGUUUUUCCAUACUUUUUCUUACUAAACUUUUCAACAACAAUUCUUUCAUACUUUCUACGAAGAAAUCAUGCUUUGACUAAUAUCUGUAAAAAAAAAAAAUCAUCUCGAAGACGUUUAAACAUAUAAGCAAACAAAAAAAAAAAUCCUUCAUGGAUGGUUCAGCCAGAAUCUCCUUCAUCCAAUAGAGGCUCUUUUCUCAUUGCUAAGAGUAUGCUCAAUCUGAGGGACAGGAACUCAUAUGUGGCAGCAGGGUUUCCUUUAUGGCUAUCUUCUCUUUUCAACUCGAGAAAUCUUAUGCCUCCGAUGGGAUGAUUUAGAUUGCAUAUAAUUUUAGAUAUUAGCUGUUUUGUUGUAAAUGGGGUCAUUCUUUGUAUGGGUUAGCCAUCUUCGGGGUAGUUCCUUUACGUCCUGUAAUCUUUGCUCACUGAGCUUUUAUCUAAUACAAAUCAGAUGUUCAAAAAAAAAGAAGCAAACAAAUAUAAACAUUGGUUAUAUUAUGCAUGACAAAUCAACAAUAAAUGUUUAGAGCUAAAAUCAGAAGUUGAUACAUUGGAGUAUUAUACAUGCAUGGCAAAUCAACAAUAAAAUGUUUAUACAUGCAUGACAAAUCAACAAUAAAUGUUGAUACAUUGGUUAUACUAUACAUGCGUGAUGACACAGCUGGUGUAUUUCUGAACAAAAAUAUUUUUAUGCUUUAAUUACAUUUUGGUUCUGGUUCCACAACAAAAUAAAUCAUACUAGUUGGAAAAUACGUAUGAACAUGAUUAGGUGGAAAUUAAAAUAACAGAUGUCAAUGAAGUUACGAGGUAAAAUGAUUCCACACGUCAGAAAAAUAUAAGUUACAACGACAUCUAAUUAUAUUAAAAUCUUGAAUAGAAAUCGAAUAUUUUGGUGGACUUUUAAUUUGAUUAGUUUGGAGGGAUUAUAAUAAUUAUAGACCAGAAGAAAAUGUCCCUCUGGAACGCAUUUAGUAAGACUAAAGUGCGCUCCCUUAACUUAUUACAUGUUGCAAGUGCCGUCCAGUUAUUUCGCCUCGUCUCCUAUUAAUUUUUGUGGGUCUCAUUCUUUACGUUUUCCUUAGUUUCGCCUCAAAUAUUUUUGUUGAAAUUACGGAUGUAACCGGUGACCAAGGUUGAAAGAAAAUAAUGCAUUUUUUAUCAUUUAUAAAAAAUAGUUUUUCUUUUUCAUCAAUUCUCAUUCUUUUCGUUCUGUAGAAAUAUAGAAUAAAUUUAUUUUUCAUUAAAAUUGAUGAAAACUAAUUUUAUUAUUAUUAUUUUAUUCAUUUUUAAUGUUUUUAUAAUAGUCAUCACUCAGACUCUACGAAAAAUGCCUUGUUUUACGUGGACCUAAAUACGCUUUUCCUAAAAUAACAAAAAUUAGCAAGAUCCAAUAACAGACCACAAAUAUUACCAGAGACCCACUGACGCAUUAAAAUAUUUAAGUUUUCUUUUUCUUACUGCUGCUUACAUUAUUGGCUUAAAGAUAUUGUAUUUGUUUAAGGUGCGAGUCUUAUGACUAUCAUUCACCUUCAUUAAGUUCGAUUAUAACAUUGUAACUUUUUAUAUAUUAUGUUUACAGUAUUUCAGAAUUUUGAGUUGUUCGAAUAAGUAAGCGCACUCGAUACUCGCUUUUAAUACAUUAGAUACAAAGUGAUUAUGAUAAGACGAAUGAGUAAAGGACACACAUUUCUUCAAUAAAGAGGCUAACAUACAAAGUGAUCAUGAUAAGAUGAAUGAGUAAACGACACACAGUUCUUCAAUAAGCAUUGAUAUAUAUUCUAAUAACCAUACAUAUUGAUGUCUCUAUUCAUUUGUCAUUAGCUAAUCGAAUAUUUUUGACCAUAGUGGUCCCAGGAGGCAUGGAUUAUAUUAUGUUGCCUCGCUUUACUUGCAGAUAUUAUUAUAUGUUUGUUUACCUUCACAAUUAUCCAAUGGAAGCACACAUUAGAUUUCGGAUAGAUCCAGCAAUAUAAUUAUAACUUAUUAUUUACAAUUAGAUGCUACAACCAAGUGACCAACGAAACUAGUUCCUAAUUAUCUAUGAAAAUGAGUUGAAUAUACAGUACCAUUAUUUUGGUUUGUACUAGUAUAAUUGUGUAACUACUGAUCAACUUUAACAGCAUAACUAGUUUUUUCCGCACAUGCGAGCAUAAUUAUUUUAUAAUUAUUUAUUAAUAAAUGUACUAUUAAAUUCAAAAAUAAAAAAAUUGCAAGUCAAAAACUAAAUUUAUAACAUUUUUUGAAUCUUUCAGUUUUUUAAUUUUGAAAUUUUAUUAAUUUAAAGACAUUAUUUAGAUAACAAUGUCAAUAUUUUAUUAUUUAAAAUAUGUUAUUAUCUUUAAACAAAAUUUUAUAUUAAUUUAUAAUAAAUUAUCUAAUUAAAUAAAUAAAUAUAUAACUGCUAAUAUAAAGUGAUAUUAUUAAACCAAAUUCUUGAAAUUACCAAAACCUACAAAAUCUAUACUAUUAUUUGCGAAGUAAUUUUUUGCAACGGAGCUCUCACAUUGAAAGUUAGGCCGGUUAAUAUCUAUAAUACCCUUAAUGAAUUUUAUAUAUAAUUAAUUAUAUAAUCAAAAACGAAUUUUAAUUAAUAAUAUUAACUUUUUUUAAAAAUAAGAUAAUUCUUAUAUAUUGUGUUGUUAUCUUAAAACAUACUUUUCAAUUAUAAAAUUUAAAAAUAAAAUAUAAAACAAUUAUAAUAAAUUCAGUGGUUAAAGUCAAUAUUAUCCUUAAUAAAUUUUAGUUAAACAUAUAUAUUUAAUUAUAUUUUGUCAUAUAUAUAUAUAUAUAUGAUUUUUCUUUUUGAAAACAUAAAUAAUAAGUUAUUCUGGUUUUUUAAUUAAUAAAAAAUAAACUAAUAAAUAUUUGUAAAACGAUUAAGUCCGCAUAUGAAAAGUAAGAUAAUUCUUAUAUAUUGUGCAGUUAUCUUAAAACAUAUUUGUCAGUUAUAAAAUUUAAAAAUAAAAUAUAAAACAAUUAUAAUAAAAUGGACUAGACCGUGAGCGAAGGGGGCGAAGACGUACUGGACCUGGUCUCUGAAGAGGAUCCCGGACAAGAGAUGGCAGUACAGUGCUUGGUGAACAUCAGGACUGAAGAUAACUUCGUCGGGACUACAACAAAGAGACAUUAUUGAUCUCAUCCCGGCUUUGAAGUUGGGGUUACGGUACACGUUAGUGGUUGCAGUUCCAAUAGGGACACCUCCUGUUGAUAUGUAUUGCUUGCUGCUGAAGAUAAACUGCAACGCUCUCCCAUUGUCAUCAAUAGGGAACUCUCUGUACAAAAUAUAAACAACAAUUAGUAGUUUUUUUUUUAAUAAUUAGUAGUUGCAAUUCAAGAAAUAAUAGCUAACCACUUUAUUGAAGAUUAUUGUUUAGGCAACCGAUAUUAAUGGAUAUUUUGGACGUAGACAGAAUUUUUUUUUUUUUAAAUGUUUUGUUCAGACAGGCGUAUACCGGUUUUUAGGACAGUUAGUAGUUGUUUUUACUGUCUUCAUGUAAAUGGAUGGAUACAUAAAAUAGGUGUGAGAAUGUGGGGAACAUGACCACUAGCUAUACCUGUUCCUGAAGGCAAAAGCAGUACGAAACAGCUGUAGUGUGUUCUCCAUCAGCUCAUCAGUGAAAGGAACAAACUUUGGACGGCCUUGACUAGUUCCAGAGCUGUUCAUUACCAAACAGAGAGACUUUUGAGUAACAUUAUUAUCAAAAGAGAUCAUUUUUUAGAAAUGGGUUUUUGUAAGAAGGAACCUCAAGGAGAUAGCUGGAACGGGAUGGCCAGUGAGGAUAGGUGACGUGUCACCAUCGACCAUUCUUUUGAUGUAAGGCUCCAACUCAGAAUCAGUGACUAACGGAACCAAUGCUUUGAAAUCUCCUUCUGGGUCUGUCGUGUUGUCUCCGUUGAUCCCGAAGUUUCGCAAGUAAAUGGCGGAUUUGUUCUUGUGGAGAAUCUCUUUCAAGGUUUGUUUCUGGACUUGGUCAGCGUUUCUCGUCAUUUCAUCGAAGUCGUCGAUGACUCUGUUCAUGUUGAAAGUCUCAGCCUUUUUCUCCAACAUCCUAAAAAAAAAGUGAGGAAAUAAAAUGAUCAGAGACAAUCUAUAGCAGAUUCUAAAAUUUAGCAAAAGGAGGUUAGGUUCUGACAGAGUUGCAGAUAGCUAAGAGAAGAAACAGAGUAAUUAAGGAAGGAAGAAUGAAACUUUAAAGCUGUUUAUGUACCUGAUAAUACAUAAAGGGAAAGUUUUUAAAGAAAAGAGAUAAAUUAAAAGAACUUUUUAGCAGAUUUUCUUUUUUUUAAAAAGUGGAGAAACGGUUCUCUGGAACCUAAACGAUAUGAUACUCUUUGUGAUAAAAAUCAAAAAACAGAAUGAACACAGGACUCUGAUGAUGAUCUUGAGAAAGAUCAAUACUUUAAGGACGAGGAAUCAAUAAUUGAGGAACCCAGUAGUUUUCUAGAGUUUACAAUCAGAACCCAUGUCGGAAUCUAUUAGAUUGGUAAAAGAGAAUAGAACUUUGGAAUCUAUCUGAAUAAAAGUAGAGAGAGAAAGAGAGCAAAAAGUCAACGAGUUGGAGCCGGAGAAACUGUUAUUUUCCCCCGAUGAGAAGAAACGAAUUACAUGAAGGAGUGAUAGAGAGAAAGAGAGAGAGAGAGAGAGAGACUACCUGCCUGUUGUGAGCUCUGUAGCUUGGUGGAGUACAGAGAGAGAGAAAGAAAGAUUUAGGAGAGAGAGAGAAGAGUGAUUGUAGAAAAGUCAGAGAAUCUGUGGAAUUUAUAGAGUGGAAAAGAAGAAGAAGUUUGAUAGUUUUGAAGUCGAUGAUGAAUCAGUGAAAGACGUUACUUACGUUUUU
rnacentral:lncRNA from 1 species